GCUGGGCGUGGUGGUGCAUGCCUGUAAUCCCAGCAGCACAGGAGGCUGAGGCAGGAGGAUCAUGAGUUCAAAGCCAGCCUCAGCAAAAAGUGAGGCAUUAAGCAACUCAGUGAGACCCUAUUUCUA
rnacentral:sRNA from 1 species